UGGCUCAGAUGGUAAAGCGUCUGCCUGCAAUGCUGGAGACCCGGGUUCGAUCCCUGG
rfam:Ovis aries breed Texel chromosome 9, whole genome shotgun sequence.